rnacentral:rRNA from 1 species
AUGGCGGCAUCGAAGAGGCCAACAGAAAGGAGGGCCUCGAGGUGCACCCCUGUGACGGCGCGGGCCACGCUUGUGUUCGACAUCGUCGGGUACAGCCUGCAUAAGGGCAUGGGCAUCGGCAAAUUCAUCCGGUCCACCACCGUCUCUGUUGGCGGGUACGAAUGGUGCAUCCGCUACUACCCAGACGGGGCAGACACACACGCCAACAGCCAGGGCCACGUCUCAGUCUACCUGGAGCUCCUGAGCAAGGGUGCCAAGGUAAGGGCGCUCUACGACUUGAGGCUGGUCAACCACACCACUGGGCUGUCGUCAUCGGUUUUCUCAGUCUUGAAGUCCCCAAUGGUGUUCGAUUCCCUCAGCACCAGUGGGACCAGUUAUAGUUGGGGUCUUCCAUAUUUUAAGAAGAAGAGUGAGCUAGAGAAGUCGGAUUACCUGCGGGAUGACCGUCUUGUAAUUGAGUGCGAUCUAACUGUCAUCAAGGAACCACUUGUUGCGGACACUGCGAUAACAGCUGAGGUCCAGAUGCCACCCUCAGACUUGGCGGAAAAUUUUGGAAAACUGCUAGAGGCGGCCGAGGAAGCAGAUGUGGCAUUCGAGGUUGAAGGUGAGAUUUUUCCUGCACAUAAGAUUGUGCUCGCAACACGGUCUCCAGUCUUCAAGGCAGAGCUGUAUGGACCGAUGAGAGGCAAGUGGAGCCAGAACAUAACCGUCGAAGAAAUGCAGCCUGCUGUUUUCACUGCAUUGCUUCACUUUAUCUACACAGAUUCAUUGCCUUCCAUGGAUAACUUUGAUGAUGAUGAGAAAAAGGAAAUGGCCAGGCACUUACUAGUGGCUGCAGAUCGGUAUGCAAUGGAAAGGAUGAAGAUGAUGUGUGAAGACAUUCUUUGCAAAACUCUUGAUGUUCAGACUGUGGCGACCACGUUAGCUCUCGCAGACCAACAUCACUGCAGCAGGUUAAAAGAUGCUUGUGCUGAAUUUAUCAUGUCUUCCAAUAGAUUGGAUGAUGUGUUGGCAAGCCAGGGAUAUGUGCACCUGAAGAAAUCAAGCCCUGCUGUCUCAGUAAAUAUCUUGGAGAGAGUUAUGAAGCUUCUCAAAUUUUAG